UCUACAGACGAGAAAUCCACCACUCCUCUGGGAUCCCGUUUCCAAAACACAUUACCCCAUUUCUUGGAACAACUGAUGCCUUCUGUCUGCAUUGACUCAAGCUUCUACACAGGCAGUGACUCUUAAAAACAGAUUCUACGUCAGCCAUAAGAAAAACUUGAUUCCCUGUUAUCAGUCAUAGUGUCAUAGCUUGAAUCUUUCUGUCAACCUGGAAUUGGAAAUUCGCAGGUCUUGAGAUACAGAAAUGAAGGUCAAGGAAGUGAACUGAAGAAAGUGAAUGAACCGAGGGAGGAAGGGAAGGUGACAUUUCAAGAGAAGAGAAGCUUUUGAAGUUAACAGAGAAGGCAAUCUUGUUGCUGGCAUCCAUCUCCAGAACUCAUCUCACAGACCUUCAAGCUGUUGCUGGCUCCGGUACCACGAGGCAAGCUUUGUCUAGCUUGCUGUUUCUGUGCACAAUGUGACCACACUUUCAUGAUUCUUCAGGAUUUUUAUUUGUUCUGAUAGCCACUAUAACUCCUUUGAAAAAGAAAGCUGAAUUUUUGACCAUUCUGAACUCUCUGCUGUAGCCAGAUGCUGCACUCUUCUGUUUUCUAGGAACUUCUCUUGUGAAAGAUUCAAGAUUCAAGAAAAGGAAUGAAAAAGAAAUAAUACCCUGUUGGUCCAUGACAUCAGAAGUAGAUGUUGGUGGUAUGGCAGUAGAGGCUGAACUUCCACUAAUAUUCUGAUACACUUUUUUGCCAUGUGACAGAUGGCAGCAGAGAAGCAGUCUGACAAACUGGCAUCUGGCAUGAGAGCGCAUAUGAAGCAAAGAUGUGUCAUUAAACUCCUUCAUACAGAAAAAAAUUGCAUCCAUUGACAUUCGUCAAUGCUUGCUGGACAUUUAUGGAGACAAAACAGGGGAUGUGAACACAGUGAAGUGGUGGAUGGUGUGUUCCAGCAUUAGCAACAGCAACAGCGGGUCAGUGCAUCCACUGAUACAGACUUUUACAAUCAUGAGAACAUUCCAAGUUACAGCACAUCACGCUUUUUUUCUCCACCCACAUCCCCUCUGUUUUCUCAUACUGACCUCACACCUUUUAUUCUUCCUGGCAGAUAUACUUUUUGUCCUGACUCAGUUUAUGUAUACAAAUGAAGUUGUAAUGUACAGAGGUCAGAGCUGCUCUGAUGGAAGGCUGCUGGUGCCUCUCUCUGUGCAUGCUCCCACAUAAAACAGGUGGAUUUAGUCUGACUCUAUGACUCUAAUCCUUUUCUCAUCAGACCAUGACUAAAGCAUAGAACUGAUUUUAUUUUUUUUUUUACUUAAAAACAAUUUGAUUUUCCUGUCCUCCUCAAAUUCAAAAUAAAUAAAAAUGAAAUAAAAAAGAAAUCAGAGCCAUAUUUGUUAAAACUUUCCAAAUAAAAUUACUUUUGGAUGGAAACCAUUUCUGAAUGUUAUUAGACAUUAAAAGCAGGAUAUUAGAAUAUAAACAUGAUGAACCACAGCACUGUGACCGUAAUAAAUUUUUCUGGCACCGAGAGCAAGAUGGCACCAACCUUUCACAUAUCUAAAUGCUUGUACGUAUAGAUGAAUUUCAGAUCUCAACCUGCUCUGCCCAGAGUUCUGAGAGAUCAGCAGGAAUCUAUUAUUUGCUGUGUUACAGUAUAUAGGCAAGCGCAAUAGCAAUUCGACCAUCAGGCGCAUUCAGGAUGACACAUCCCAUCUAAUUGCCCACAUUCAUCUGUGGCCAAGGGCUUCCCCAGAGAUGGGUUGGGCUCAGCAGGGCAAUCAUCUGGCAGAAUGGCUCUGCCCCCACAACCUGGCAGCAGCCUCUUCUUCCUUCACUUAUCCCCUCCUUUCCGCAGGCCCAGGAACAAGAAAUAUCUUCCUGUGGUGCUAGGACAGCUGGCAAGACAAAGAUGGCUGCAGGGGAGAAGAGAGAGACUGGCAAUAUAUAGCUGUGCAUGCACAUCUGCUCUCUGCUCAGGGUUACUGCUGGCAAGCAGCAGCCUGCGGAGAUCAGAGGGCACUGCAAGAUUCAUCUUGUUUUUUUGCCAUUUUGUGCUGCUCUUUCCCUUGUCCCUGCAAACCAAAACUGAACUGCAGCCUCCUCUGUGGUGAAGCACGGAUGCUGGAUAACAGAGGGCAGCAACAAUUGUACAGAAAUGCUUGAAAAGAUAUGCACUGAAGUAGACCAUGAUGAGCACUGAAACAGGGGUGGUUUGGAUAAGCUGAGAGUACUUGCAAAUAUACAUGCUUGUAUGUUUUUUAUUAACAGUGAUAUCAUCAGACAUGUAUUCAUUUUUACACAUGAGGGGGAAGCUCUUGAAAGAAUUUUUCCAGUUCGUAUCCUAUCUUCUGUCUGCUCAAACAAAAUGAAAUUUUUACAUGGAUGCCUCCUUGUACCCCACCCCCUCCUUUUU